rnacentral:rRNA from 1 species
GGGCCCGCACAAGCGGUGGAGUAUGUGGUUUAAUUCGAUGCAACGCGAAGAACCUUACCAGGGCUUAAAUGUAGUCUGACAGCUUUAGAGAUAAAGUUUUCUUCGGACAGAUUACAAGGUGCUGCAUGGUUGUCGUCAGCUCGUGCCGUGAGGUGUCAGGUUAAGUCCUAUAACGAGCGCAACCCCCUGCCGUUAGUUGCCAGCAUGUAAUGAUGGGAACUCUAACGGGACUGCCGGUGCAAACCGCGAGGAAGGUGGGAUGACGUCAAAUCAUCACGGCCCUUACGUCCUGGGCUACACACGUGCUACAAUGGCCGGUACAGAGGGCAGCCACACGCAAGGUGGAGCGAAUCCUUAAAACCGGUCUC